AUUGAACGCUGGCGGCAGGCCUAACACAUGCAAGUCGAACGAGUGGCGGACGGGUGAGUAAUGGCUGGGAAACUGCCCGAUGGAGGGGGAUAACUAAUGGAAACGGUAGCUAAUACCGCAUACCAUCGGAUGUGCCCAGAUGGGAUUAGCGAGUAGGUGGGGUAACGGCGCACCUAGGCGACGAUCCCUAGCUGGUCGUAGAGGAUGACCAGCCACACUGGAACUGAGCCACGGUCCAGACUCCUACGGGAGGCAGCAGUGGUGAAUAUUGCACAAUUGGCGCAAGCCGGAUGCAGCCAUGCCGCGUGUAUGAAGAAGGCCUUCGGGUUGUAAAGUACUUUCAGCGAGGAGGCGUUACUCGCAGAAGAAGCACCGGCUAACUCCGUGCCAGCAGCCGCGGUAAUAC
rnacentral:rRNA from 1 species